rnacentral:rRNA from 1 species
GAUGCUAAUACCGCAUAAGCUCACGCGAAGUANAGGCGAGUGAGAAAAGGAGCAAUCCGCUUGAGGAGGAGGUCGCGGCCCAUCAGGUAGUUGGUGAGGUAAAGGCUCACCAAGCCGACGACGGGUAGGGGGCCUGAGAGGGUGGUCCCCCACACUGGGACUGAGACACGGCCCAGACUCCUACGGGAGGCAGCAGUGAGGGAUAUUGCACAAUGGGCGAAAGCCUGAUGCAGCGACGCCGCGUGGGUGAAGAAGGCCUUCGGGUCGUAAAGCCCUUUUCCCACUGAAGAGGAAGGACGGUAAGUGGGGAAUAAGUCUCGGCUAACUACGUGCCAGCAGCCGCGGUAAAACGUAGGAGGCAAGCGUUAUCCGGAGUUACUGGGCGUAAAGAGCGCGCAGGCGGUUCGAUAAGUGGGUCGUGAAAGCUCCCGGCUAAACUGGGAGAGGACGAUUCAAACUGUCGGGCU